rnacentral:rRNA from 1 species
UACGUAGGGGGCAAGCGUUGUCCGGAUUUAUUGGGCGUAAAGAGCGUGUAGGCGGCUAGAUAGGUCCGUUGUGAAAACUCGAGCUCAACCUCGAGACGCCGGUGGAAACCAUCUAGCUAGAGUCCGGAAGAGGAGAGUGGAAUUCCUGGUGUAGCGGUGAAAUGCGCAGAUAUCAGGAGGAACACCAACGGCGAAGGCAGCUCUCUGGGACGGUACUGACGCUGAGACGCGAAAGCGUGGGGAGCGAACAGG